UGGGACUCUGUGAGCGGCGGACGGGUUAGUAACGCGUGGGAACAUACCCUUUUCUGCGGAAUAGCCUCUGGAAACGGAGAGUAAUACCGCAUACGCCCUUCGGGGGAAAGAUUUAUCGGUGAAGGAUUGGCCCGCGUUAGAUUAGAUAGUUGGUGGGGUAACGGCCUACCAAGUCUACGAUCUAUAGCUGGUUUUAGAGGACGAUCAGCAACACUGGGACUGAGACACGGCCCAGACUCCUACGGGAGGCAGCAGUGGGGAAUCUUAGACAAUGGGCGAAAGCCUGAUCUAGCCAUGCCGCGUGAGUGAUGAAGGCCUUAGGGUCGUAAAGCUCUUUCGCCAGGGAUGAUAAUGACAGUACCUGGUAAAGAAACCCCGGCUAACUCCGUGCCAGCAGCCGCGGUAAUACGGAGGGGGUUAGCGUUGUUCGGAAUUACUGGGCGUAAAGCGCGCGUAGGCGGAUUGGAAAGUUGGGGGUGAAAUCCCGGGGCUCAACCCCGGAACUGCCUCCAAAACUAUCAGUCUAGAGUUCGAGAGAGGUGAGUGGAAUUCCAAGUGUAGAGGUGAAAUUCGUAGAUAUUUGGAGGAACACCAGUGGCGAAGGCGGCUCACUGGCUCGAUACUGACGCUGAGGUGCGAAAGUGUGGGG
rnacentral:rRNA from 1 species